CCUACGGGAGGCAGCAGUGAGGAAUAUUGGUCAAUGGACGCAAGUCUGAACCAGCCAUGCCGCGUGCAGGAAGACGGCUCUAUGAGUUGUAAACUGCUUUUGUACGAGGGUAAACGCAGAUACGCGUAUCUGUCUGAAAGUAUCGUACGAAUAAGGAUCGGCUAACUCCGUGCCAGCAGCCGCGGUAAUACGGAGGAUUCAAGCGUUAUCCGGAUUUAUUGGGUUUAAAGGGUGCGCAGGCGGCCUGUUAAGUCAGCGGUAAAAGCCCGGGGCUCAACCCCGGCGAGCCGUUGAAACUGGCGGGCUGGAGUUGGAGAGAAGUACGCGGAAUGCGCGGUGUAGCGGUGAAAUGCUUAGAUAUCGCGCAGAACCCCGAUUGCGAAGGCAGCGUACCGGCUCCACACUGACGCUGAGGCACGAAAGCGUGGGUAUCGAACAGGAUUAGAUACCCUUGUAGUC
rnacentral:rRNA from 1 species